rnacentral:lncRNA from 1 species
UGGAUUUGAAGAGAAUGAGAGCUGUUUGGAAUGGUUUGGUAGGCUAGGACAGGCACAUGGGCACAUCAUCCCUCACACAUUCGUCGACGGAGAUGUGAUACAAGAAUGUCAAGGUGAAAUGGGAUACACAAAGGCUGCCCCAGUCUGGUGUUUUGGAAAAUGAACUGGGGUUUGGAUCCAUGAACAUUAGGGUGAGAAAAUCAAGUGAGACUCGCAAAGUUGCCCCGGUCUUGGGAUUAUGGAUUGAUGAAAAGUUCGUGUGAGACUCACAAAGUUGUCCCGAUUUUUGUUUGUUUUUUUUUCUUUGUUUAUUGUGGCAUGGGUUGAUGAUAAACUCGGGUGAGACUCACAAAGUUGUCCCAGUUUUUCUUUGGCAAGGGGUUCCAUUUGGAAGAGGUAUUGGACAUGAAAAGGAUCGGUUAAAAGGAUGACCCCAAAUUAGUUUGAUUUUUCUUUUGCAUGCUUCUGGUUAGGUGGCAGGGUGAUCCCCUCUUCCUGAGACAUUACUUUUUCUUUUUUUCCCUUUUUUUUUCUUCUUUUCUACGACACACUGAUAGUCAUUUCACUUUAUCGCAAAAUUAAGCUUUAUGAAAAUUUGAGCAAUCAUUAUNCAAUCUGCAUGGACUUUGUUAGGCUUGUAACGUGGCUAGGGGCUAAAAGGAAUUAGAAGAAAAGGUAUAAAGGCCCAAAUGAAUGUUUGUUGGUUAUUAUUUUUUGAAACAAGGAUUAUCAUCUAAGUAUUGCAUCAACUAUUUGACUUUUUGAGCACUUUGUUUUUUUUUCUUGAACUUCGUUUUUCAUUCUUUUUGCUCAACAUCACUUUGUGAUUUCUUUUUGUUUUUUUUUUCUUGUUUUUCUUUUGUUUUUUUUUUUCUCUUCUUGAUGAAUUCUCUUUGUUUGACCACUGAGUGCUCCUUAUUUGCAUCAUGAGUUGACUCUUACCUGAUGACAACCCUUGCUUGGGGAUGAUUUUGAAAAAGGAUUUAUUUUUAGCUCAAAUAGGGUGACAAUGGAUAUAUUUUUGCUUUUAGGUAAAAACAAGAAGGCCGCACAUCAUUUUGAACUCUGAUUGCUUUAUUUUCAAAAGACUAAUUUUGCGACUGGAUGACCGCAACAUGAGUCGUUUUUUUUUUUUCUGAAAUUUUUUUUAGGCUUUUUUUUUAGACUGCCCUUUCGGGUUUUCAAUCUAGUGGACUUAUUUUCUUUUUGAAAGUUUCUUUUUUUUUUGUGAAAAUUCUUUUGUUCUUUUAUUUGCCUCAAUGGUUUCGGGGAUCACCCAACUAGCGCAAGCGAGAUAAUUUUGGCCAGACCAAUCUGCCCCAGUAUGAAGGUUUACUUUGUUACUUGGGGCAAUGUCAGUGUUUGUGAGGAAAAUACUUUAUUUUGGGAAAGUGAAGGGUGUAGGUUUUCAAGCAACAUGUGCACAAACGUCUUGAGAGAAACGUCAAAAUUGUUAUUUUUUAGACAUUUGACCUCGGAAAAGUCUGACACUACAACUUUUGUUUUUUUUAUUGCCAUUUUUUUUGCUAUUUUCGAAAAACAAGAGUUUGAAGAUUUGCAAGAAAGACAAAUGACUCAAGAUCGCCAUCAUUUUUUCUUUUCCAAUUUUGUUUUAUUUUUUAAUACCCUUUCAGGACUCGAUUUCCAGCACUACUUGGAGAAACCCUGUAGUAAUUGUUCACAUUGAAAAUCAUGGACGAGGAUGUGAUAACAAUGAACACAGAUCUCUUGGCAAGAUACUUCACAAUCAUCAAAUUCACUUGUACGAUGGCUUAUGUUUUCUUAUGUGGUUCUAGAGCCCGCAUCAUUGUUUCAUAGCAUCUGUAGAGAUAUUCUCAAGCCUUGCCUUAGUGUAGGGUUGACUUUCUCUACAGUUUAACAAUUCUGAAUCGAUCAAAACUUGUCUUUGCGCUUGACAACAAACACUUUUGGUGUAAUGAUCGAUANCCCCUUCAUGGUAAAUACCUUCGUAUCGUGAGUCUUGAAAUAUUGAGGGUCUAAAGGCUUCAUGUAACAAUUAGAGACAGGGCCUUUUUGAAACAGACUUGGAAGCAACGUUGCUUAAGUCAUAUGUNUAGGAGUAAAGCUCGCAGCCUUUUCUCUUGAUCAAUCAUUUUCCUGCCCAACAACUUAGUGAGAAGUUGAGUUUGGAUCAAAUAUCCCAUUUGUCUUGCAAUUGUUUCAAGUGAAGGGUAGGCCAACGGGAUUUGAGCGAUAGGAGGUGAUUAAACUCUUUGCUUUCUUCUCUUCACAAGCUUAAACCCGACUUGUUCAUAUUUGCUAUCAUGGUAUGACCUUGCGUGACCGUUCCAAUCCUCACACUAACUUCAAUUCUAUCUUCAAGCAUCCUCAGGUCUACAAAGUUUGAUGAACACUGCUCACCAUGGUCUCAUAGAAGGUGAUCGCAGAGUAUUUAGGAAUGUGUCAACCAUCUUAUUAUCGCUCAUAAUAGACUUUCCUUGAGCAACAUUCUUUCCACCUUUGGGUAUACUCUUUGAAUGAUUUUGACGGCUUUUUCACCAUACCCUGUAAUUGUAAUCUAUGAGAUGUCACAUUCGUGUUAUAUUCGAAAUGCUUCAAGAAAGCACCCACCAAAUCCUCCCAAGACUGUAUGCACGAAUGUUCAGGAUGAUAGCCUCAGUUUAGCGGCAUGCCAGCCAAUCUUCCUUGGAAGAAAUGAAUUAGCAACUUUUCAUCAUAUGNNCACACAGUNGUUUUCUUGUCAUACGCCAUGAGAUGAGUCUUAAGACAAAUGGUCCCUCUAUAUUUCUCGCCUUUGGAAAAUUUAAACUUUUGAAUGUAUCAUCAGAUCCGGGAUUAAGCAAGCCUUGCAACAUUUUCAGACUUAACGCUUCAUUCACCUUCUAUGGCUGUCAUCCUUUUUCAACAUUUCAAAUUUACCCUUGUCAACCUCAACAUCCAUUUGUGCACAAACAUGGAAAGAAGACUUCAGCUCGGAUUGCCUUGUUAUCAUCAUGUUCACAAUACUUGAUUGAAGCCUUUUCCUAGGGACCAUGAAAGUGGUUGCCCCAAGCUUGUUCUCCACUUCAACUGCAUUAUCUUCGGCCUUUUGAGUGUGAACUUGCCCCUGAGUACGCUCCUGAGGGUGAAGUGUAAUUUAUGGAAGACCAUGUAAGGGAAAAUUUGAGUCUCUGAUACUCUUUGUUGCAGUCGUGGUGAACACGAAUCUUCAGUUCCCUGUAAGGCAUUCAGGGCCUCUAAGGCUUGGCUCAUUUGCCCCUUCAAUUGUUGGAUAUCAACUUUUCAUCCCUUCUUGAACUUCUCCUUGGUUCUCCAAGAUUUAGUAACUGGUUCGAGUCCUUUUUUUUUUUGAUUUUUUUCUUUUUUUUUUCUUUGAAAUUUUAUUAGAUGAAACACAAGAGAAAAAGAAAAUAAACAAUAAAAAUGAAAAGAAAAAGAGAAGACGAUGUAGUUCAAAUUCUCUAGUCAGAAAUUAUAAAGCUGUGAAAAGAUUGCCCCGGUAUAAUUUGGAAAUUAACACAAGACUGAGUCAAUAGGGUAGCUCAUCAUUCAGAAGUUCACAAAAUGUGAAGCAUAGGAAGUCUUUUUCCACUACUCUGGGGCCUUAACCAUCAGCUUUUUCAUUUCCCCCAUUGAUUUCUUGCAACAAUUGAGGAAUGUUUCAAUCCCCUUAAGCGGGUUAAAAUAUCGGCAAUGCAGACACAACCUCGGCUAAUGACCUAGGAACGUUUUCAAUGGCUUUAUUGGUAAGGGAAGCUAGUUGUGAGAGGCUUCACUUUCAAUUCUCCCUUGUUCAACAACAUGUUCCUUCAUUUGAAUUACCAAUUCUUGAUUUAUACUUUUUAGCAUGAUGCUAACCUUCCUUCUUCAGUUUGGCCACUGCUGCUUUCACACGUUGUUCAGCAUUGUGAAAUUACUUUUCACCAUUUGGGUCAGGAGAAAUUAACUUGGAUGACAACUUGACUGUAUUGACCCCCUUGGUGUGGUGGCAGGAGAAGAGAAUGGGCCCAACAGCCUGGCCCAAGCCUAACCCUAACAGAAACAUUAGGGGUUUCUCUAGCUUCCUCUCAUUCACGCAUAUGCAAAUACAGAGACCUCUAGACUCUCUCUUCCAAAUCCAGCCCAGGGAUAGAUGCGCCUCCUCCGCCUGCACACUACCACCAGCGGCUCUGACAACACUCUGAACGGCCACCGCAGGCCGCUGUCCUUUGCGUCGCCAGAGCUGCCGCCAGACAUCACGGCGGACCGCCACCACCUUGCCCCUUUCUCCUUCGCGCGAGAGGAAGACGAACUCACUUGGACGCGUGCUCCUCGUUGCCGGCGAAACCGGGACCGUCAGUCGUUGGCCAUGAUGUCGCCGCUUUGCUGCGUCUCCGAGAGCCACCACGAGGAUUCUCUCUUCUUCCUCUGAACGCGACGCGUCUUCUCCCCAAUUUGGAGCACACCGUCGUACCUUCCACCUUGAGAGAACUACCACCCCAAAAUUAUGCUAGCGACUCUGCCGACGCUUCUAGUAGUUGUCCAAGACCAUCACCAGGUUUGCCAAUGGAAUAGGUGCAAGCAACAUCUCCCAUCUUCUCCUAUCGAUUAGAUAUUCACAAUGAAGAUGGUGAGAUUUGGGGUUUCCUCCUCUAUUUGAUGGUUGUAUGUAUUUUAUUGAAUAUGUGAUGGACUGGAAGUAAGGGUUUGAUGCUUCAAGAAUUGAGAUGAAUUGGUAUGUGAUGAUGGAAGGCGUAAGGGAGACUAGGAAGCGGAUUUGGCUCUUUCUAUUUUGGUUUUUGAAUGCAGGGAAAAUGGUUUUAGAAGUAUGAUGAGGAGGAUGGGAAUGAAGAUAGAUGGAGAUGAAAAUGAUGGAAGGGUGCUGACAGUGGGAGAGACCGUGAAUGGAGAUGGUUACAGUUUGGGUAGAGCAGAGGGAUGGAUUCUGGGUUAUGUGUGAUCAAGAAUUGGUUUCCAUUUUUCUGUUGAUUGGGAGUGAUGAAAGAGUGAUGAAUUAUGGUAGUUUUNAGAAGACUUCAGCUCGGAUUGCCUUGUUAUCAUCAUGUUCACAAUACUUGAUUGAAGCCUUUUCCUAGGGACCAUGAAAGUGGUUGCCCCAAGCUUGUUCUCCACUUCAACUGCAUUAUCUUCGGCCUUUUGAGUGUGAACUUGCCCCUGAGUACGCUCCUGAGGGUGAAGUGUAAUUUAUGGAAGACCAUGUAAGGGAAAAUUUGAGUCUCUGAUACUCUUUGUUGCAGUCGUGGUGAACACGAAUCUUCAGUUCCCUGUAAGGCAUUCAGGGCCUCUAAGGCUUGGCUCAUUUGCCCCUUCAAUUGUUGGAUAUCAACUUUUCAUCCCUUCUUGAACUUCUCCUUGGUUCUCCAAGAUUUAGUAACUGGUUCGAGUCCUUUUUUUUUUUGAUUUUUUUCUUUUUUUUUUCUUUGAAAUUUUAUUAGAUGAAACACAAGAGAAAAAGAAAAUAAACAAUAAAAAUGAAAAGAAAAAGAGAAGACGAUGUAGUUCAAAUUCUCUAGUCAGAAAUUAUAAAGCUGUGAAAAGAUUGCCCCGGUAUAAUUUGGAAAUUAACACAAGACUGAGUCAAUAGGGUAGCUCAUCAUUCAGAAGUUCACAAAAUGUGAAGCAUAGGAAGUCUUUUUCCACUACUCUGGGGCCUUAACCAUCAGCUUUUUCAUUUCCCCCAUUGAUUUCUUGCAACAAUUGAGGAAUGUUUCAAUCCCCUUAAGCGGGUUAAAAUAUCGGCAAUGCAGACACAACCUCGGCUAAUGACCUAGGAACGUUUUCAAUGGCUUUAUUGGUAAGGGAAGCUAGUUGUGAGAGGCUUCACUUUCAAUUCUCCCUUGUUCAACAACAUGUUCCUUCAUUUGAAUUACCAAUUCUUGAUUUAUACUUUUUAGCAUGAUGCUAACCUUCCUUCUUCAGUUUGGCCACUGCUGCUUUCACACGUUGUUCAGCAUUGUGAAAUUACUUUUCACCAUUUGGGUCAGGAGAAAUUAACUUGGAUGACAACUUGACUGUAUUGACCCCCUUGGUGUGGUGGCAGGAGAAGAGAAUGGGCCCAACAGCCUGGCCCAAGCCUAACCCUAACAGAAACAUUAGGGGUUUCUCUAGCUUCCUCUCAUUCACGCAUAUGCAAAUACAGAGACCUCUAGACUCUCUCUUCCAAAUCCAGCCCAGGGAUAGAUGCGCCUCCUCCGCCUGCACACUACCACCAGCGGCUCUGACAACACUCUGAACGGCCACCGCAGGCCGCUGUCCUUUGCGUCGCCAGAGCUGCCGCCAGACAUCACGGCGGACCGCCACCACCUUGCCCCUUUCUCCUUCGCGCGAGAGGAAGACGAACUCACUUGGACGCGUGCUCCUCGUUGCCGGCGAAACCGGGACCGUCAGUCGUUGGCCAUGAUGUCGCCGCUUUGCUGCGUCUCCGAGAGCCACCACGAGGAUUCUCUCUUCUUCCUCUGAACGCGACGCGUCUUCUCCCCAAUUUGGAGCACACCGUCGUACCUUCCACCUUGAGAGAACUACCACCCCAAAAUUAUGCUAGCGACUCUGCCGACGCUUCUAGUAGUUGUCCAAGACCAUCACCAGGUUUGCCAAUGGAAUAGGUGCAAGCAACAUCUCCCAUCUUCUCCUAUCGAUUAGAUAUUCACAAUGAAGAUGGUGAGAUUUGGGGUUUCCUCCUCUAUUUGAUGGUUGUAUGUAUUUUAUUGAAUAUGUGAUGGACUGGAAGUAAGGGUUUGAUGCUUCAAGAAUUGAGAUGAAUUGGUAUGUGAUGAUGGAAGGCGUAAGGGAGACUAGGAAGCGGAUUUGGCUCUUUCUAUUUUGGUUUUUGAAUGCAGGGAAAAUGGUUUUAGAAGUAUGAUGAGGAGGAUGGGAAUGAAGAUAGAUGGAGAUGAAAAUGAUGGAAGGGUGCUGACAGUGGGAGAGACCGUGAAUGGAGAUGGUUACGGUUUUUGGGUAGAGCAGAGGGAUGGAUUCUGGGUUAUGUGUGAUCAAGAAUUGGUUUCCAUUUUUCUGUUGAUUGGGAGUGAUGAAAGAGUGAUGAAUUAUGGUAGUUUUNNUGUGCGUGCUGGGAUGGAGAGGAAAAGAUUGUGUGNGGUUCUGUUUNUGUUGUUGGUGAGUCCUAAGGAAAUUGUCUGUAGUGUUGAUGAGUGAUCCGAUUGGGCAAGGCCAGGAUAAGUGGUGGGGCUGUGUGAUGGAGCCAGAGUGAUGAAUCUGUUAAAAAAAAUGGUGUGUGUCCAGAAGGAUUGGGCAAUGACCGUGGUUGAAUAUUGGAGGUUGUUGGAGAUAAGGGGAGAAUUCCUCUGCUUCAUAUGCCAUGUGUGUUGAGUGAUCAAGCCUGGUCCGUUCUUCUGCUUGGGUGUGAUGAAGGAUAUGGAAGACCCAUUCUGUUAUGUUCCCCCUUUCCAUUUCCAAAACGUGUCCUUUUUUCCAACUAUAUUUUUUUUCGUUUUCCUUUUUUUUUCUUUCGUUUUCUUUUCUUUAUUUUCUUUUUUGUUCUUUCUUUUUUUUUUUCUUUUUCAUUGCUUUUCCUUUUAUCUUUUUUAUUCUUUCGUUUUUUUCUUUUACUUUUUUUUUUCAUUCAUUUUUUCCUUUUCUUUUUCAUCAUUUCUUUUUCGUUUUCUUUUUCCUUCUUUUUUUUCGAAAUAAUAAAAUCAAAUGAAAACUAAAAUUAAA